AUUGAACGCUGGCGGCAGGCCUAACACAUGCAAGUCGAACGAGUGGCGGACGGGUGAGUAAUGUCUGGGAAACUGCCUGAUGGAUGGGGAUAACUAUUGGAACCGGUAGCUAAUACCGCAUACCAUCAGAUGUGCCCAGGUGGGAUUCGCUAGUUGGUGGGGUCACGGGUCACCAAGGCGACGAUCCCUAGGUGGUCUGAGAGGGUGACCAGCCACACUGGAACUGUGACACGGUCCAGACUCCUACGGGCGGCAGCAGUGGAGAAUAUGGCACAAUGGGCGAAUGCCUGAAGCAGCCAUGCCGCGGGUAUGAAGGGGGCCUUCGGGUUGUAGAGUACUUUCAGCGGGGAGGCGUUACCCGCAGAAGAAGCACCGGCUAACUCCGGGCCAGCAGCCGCGGUAAUUC
rnacentral:rRNA from 1 species